UACGUAGGGUGCGAGCGUUAAUCGGAAUUACUGGGCGUAAAGCGUGCGCAGGCGGUUCGUUGUGUCGGCGGUGAAAGCCCCGGGCUUAACCUGGGAAUGGCCGUUGAAACUGGCGAACUGGAGUGUGGCAGAGGGGGGUGGAAUUCCGCGUGUAGCAGUGAAAUGCGUAGAGAUGCGGAGGAACACCAAUGGCGAAGGCAGCUCGCUGGGACGUGACUGACGCUGAGACGCGAAAGCGUGGGGAGCAAACAGG
rnacentral:rRNA from 1 species